rnacentral:rRNA from 1 species
GACGAACGCUGGCGGCGUGCUUAACACAUGCAAGUCGAACGGAAAGGCCCUGCUUUUGUGGGGUGCUCGAGUGGCGAACGGGUGAGUAACACGUGAGUAACCUGCCCUUGACUUUGGGAUAACUUCAGGAAACUGGGGCUAAUACCGGAUAGGAGCUCCUGCUGCAUGGUGGGGGUUGGAAAGUUUCGGCGGUUGGGGAUGGACUCGCGGCUUAUCAGCUUGUUGGUGGGGUAGUGGCUUACCAAGGCUUUGACGGGUAGCCGGCCUGAGAGGGUGACCGGCCACAUUGGGACUGAGAUACGGCCCAGACUCCUACGGGAGGCAGCAGUGGGGAAUAUUGCACAAUGGGCGGAAGCCUGAUGCAGCAACGCCGCGUGCGGGAUGACGGCCUUCGGGUUGUAAACCGCUUUCGCCUGUGACGAAGCGUGAGUGACGGUAAUGGGUAAAGAAGCACCGGCUAACUACGUGCCAGCAGCCGCGGUGAUACGUAGGGUGCGAGCGUUGUCCGGAUUUAUUGGGCGUAAAGGGCUCGUAGGUGGUUGAUCGCGUCGGAAGUGUAAUCUUGGGGCUUAACCCUGAGCGUGCUUUCGAUACGGGUUGACUUGAGGAAGGUAGGGGAGAAUGGAAUUCCUGGUGGAGCGGUGGAAUGCGCAGAUAUCAGGAGGAACACCAGUGGCGAAGGCGGUUCUCUGGGCCUUUCCUGACGCUGAGGAGCGAAAGCGUGGGGAGCGAACAGGCUUAGAUACCCUGGUAGUCCACGCUGUAAACGGUGGGUACUAGGUGUGGGGUCCAUUCCACGGGUUCCGUGCCGUAGCUAACGCUUUAAGUACCCCGCCUGGGGAGUACGGCCGCAAGACUAAAACUCAAAGGAAUUGACGGGGCCCCGCACAAGCGGCGGAGCAUGCGGAUUAAUUCGAUGCAACGCGUAGAACCUUACCUGGGUUUGACAUGGAUCGGGAGCGCUCAGAGAUGGGUGUGCCUCUUUUGGGGUCGGUUCACAGGUGGUGCAUGGCUGUCGUCAGCUCGUGUCGUGAGAUGUUGGGUUAAGUCCCGCAACGAGCGCAACCCUUGUUCACUGUUGCCAGCACGUUAUGGUGGGGACUCAGUGGAGACCGCCGGGGUCAACUCGGAGGAAGGUGGGGAUGACGUCAAGUCAUCAUGCCCCUUAUGUCCAGGGCUUCACGCAUGCUACAAUGGCUGGUACAGAGAGUGGCGAGCCUGUGAGGGUGAGCGAAUCUCGGAAAGCCGGUCUCAGUUCGGAUUGGGGUCUGCAACUCGACCUCAUGAAGUCGGAGUCGCUAGUAAUCGCAGAUCAGCAACGCUGCGGUGAAUACGUUCCCGGGGCU